ensembl:snRNA U6 U6 spliceosomal RNA
GUGCUUGCAUCAGCAGCACAUAUACUAAAACUGGAAUGAUACAGAGAUUAGCAUGGCCCCUGUGCAAGGAUGACAUGCAAAUUCAUGAAGUGUUCCAUUUU